AGAGUUUGAUCCUGGCUCAGAACGAACGCUGGCGGCGUGCCUAACACAUGCAAGUCGAACGAGAAAGCCCGACUUCGGUUGGGCGAGUAAAGUGGCGCACGGGUGAGUAACGCGUAGGUAACCUGCCCCUGUGUUCGGAACAACAGUGCGAAAGCGCUGCUAAUACCGGAUGUGGCCAGAGACGGUGGUUUUUUGGUCAAAGUCGGCCUCUUGAAAAAGCUGACGCACGGGGAUGGGCCUGCGUCCUAUCAGCUAGUUGGUAGGGUAAUGGCCUACCAAGGCUUCGACGGGUAGCUGGUCUGAGAGGAUGAUCAGCCACACUGGCACUGAAACACGGGCCAGACUCCUACGGGAGGCAGCAGUGAGGAAUUUUGCGCAAUGGCCGCAAGGCUGACGCAGCAACGCCGCGUGGGUGACGAAGGCCUUCGGGUCGUAAAGCCCUGUCAGUGGGGAAGAACGGCUUGGGGACUAAUAAUCUCCAGAUUGACGGUACCACCAGAGGGAAGCAAACGGCUUAACUUCGAGCC
rnacentral:rRNA from 1 species